AGGGCACCACCAGGAGUGGAGCCUGCGGCUUAAUUUGACUCAACACGGGAAAACUCACCCGGCCCGGACACUGUAAGGAUUGACAGACUGAGAGCUCUUUCUUAAUUCAGUGGGUGGUGGUGCAUGGCCGUUCUUAGUUGGUGGAGCGAUUUGUCUGGUUAAUUCCGAUAACGAACGAGACUCUGGCCUAUUAAAUAGACGAGGUAUUCUUAAGUACCUCGCGCUUCUUAGAGGGACAAGCGGCGUCUAGUCGCAUGACAAAGAGCAAUAACAGGUCUGUGAUGCCCUUAGAUGUCCGGGGCUGCACGCGCGCUACACUGAAAGAAUCAGUGGGCGUUAUACCUAGCUCGGAAGAGCCGGGUAACCCAAGUAAUUUCUUUCAUGCUUGGGAUAGGGAAUUGCAAUUAUUUCCCUUAAACGAGGAAUUCCCAGUAAACGCGGGUCAUAAGCUCGUGUUGAUUACGUCCCUGCCCUUUGUACACACCGCCCGUCGCUACUACCGAUUGGAUGACUUAGUGA
rnacentral:rRNA from 1 species